rnacentral:rRNA from 1 species
CCUGCCGUUGCCGGCGACCGGCGCACGGGUGAGUAACACGUAUGCAACCUGCCCGUGGCAGGGGGGAUAAGCGGGGGAAACCCCGUCUAAUACCGCGUAACGCGGCCUAGGGACAUCCCAAGGCCGCCAAAGGGAGCAAUCCCGGCCACGGAUGGGCAUGCGGCGCAUUAGCUAGUCGGCGGGGUAACGGCCCACCGAGGCGACGAUGCGUAGGGGUUCUGAGAGGAAGGCCCCCCACACUGGUACUGAGACACGGACCAGACUCCUACGGGAGGCAGCAG